CUUAGUAGCGGCGAGUGAAGCGGCAAAAGCUCAAAUUUGAAAUCUGGCUCUUUCAGAGUCCGAGUUGUAAUUUGAAGAAGGUAUCUUUGGGUCUGGCUCUUGUCUAUGUUUCUUGGAACAGAACGUCACAGAGGGUGAGAAUCCCGUGCGAUGAGAUGAUCCAGGCCUAUGUAAAGUUCCUUCGAAGAGUCGAGUUGUUUGGGAAUGCAGCUCUAAGUGGGUGGUAAAUUCCAUCUAAAGCUAAAUAUUGGCGAGAGACCGAUAGCGAACAAGUACAGUGAUGGAAAGAUGAAAAGAACUUUGAAAAGAGAGUGAAAAAGUACGUGAAAUUGUUGAAAGGGAAGGGCUUGAGAUCAGACUUGGUAUUUUGUAUGUUACUUCUUCGGGGGUGGCCUCUACAGUUUAUCGGGCCAGCAUCAGUUUGGGCGGUAGGAGAAUUGCGUUGGAAUGUGGCACGGCUUCGGUUGUGUGUUAUAGCCUUCGUCGAUACUGCCAGCCUAGACUGAGGACUGCGGUUUAUACCUAGGAUGUUGGCAUAAUGAUCUUAAGUCGCCCGUCUUGAAACACGGACCAC
rnacentral:rRNA from 1 species